AAUAAACGAAUUCCUAAGUUUUUGAUUGAGUUUUUGACUCUUCGUCUUAUUUAAAAUUUCUUUUAUGAUUAAUAUUUUUAUUGUUAUUACAUGAUAAAACAUGAAUAGUACUUUGCAUAUGACUAUUUUUUUUAAUAUUUUAAUAAACUUUUCAAAUAAGACAGAUGGUCAAACGCUCCAUAAAUAAAAUUCAG
rnacentral:pre_miRNA from 1 species